GCCCGGGUGGUCUAGUGGUAUGAUUCUCGCUUAGGGAGAACUCAACGAGUUCUAACAACCCAAGCAUAUCUGCGAGAGGUCCCGCGUUCGAUCCGCGGCUCGGGCC
rnacentral:tRNA from 1 species